rnacentral:rRNA from 1 species
AGUGAACGCUGGCGGUAUGCCUAAUACAUGCAAGUCGAACGCUAGAAUACUAAGAGCUUGCUCUUACGGGUGGCGAGUGGAGGACGAGUGAGGCAUACAUCGGAAUCUACUUUUUCGUGGGGGAUAAUGUAGGGAAACUUAUGCUAAUACCGCAUACGCUCUACGGGAGAAAUCAGGCGAUCUUCGUACCUUGUGCGCUUGUAUGGCCUGAUGUCGGAUUAGCUAGUUGGCGGGGUAAAGGCCCACCAAGGCGACGAUCCGUAGCUGGUCUGAGAGGAUGAUCAGCCACACUGGAACUGAGACACGGCCCAGACUCCUACGGGAGGCAGCAGUGGGGAAUAUUGGACAAUGGGCGCAAGCCUGACCCAGCCAUACCGCGUGGGGGAAGAAGGCCUUCGGGUUGUAAAGCCCUUUUGUAGGGAAAGAAAGGCGGCAGGUUAAAACGCCGCUGUAGUGACGGUACCCAAAGAGAAAGCACCGGCUAACUUCGUG